rnacentral:rRNA from 1 species
AUUGAACGCUGGCGGCAGGCCUAACACAUGCAAGUCGAGCGGAGAGGCGGACGGGUGAGUAAUGCCUAGGAAUCUGCCUGGUAGUGGGGGAUAACGUCCGGAAAAGGGCGCUAAUACCGCAUACUAUCAGAUGAGCCUAGGUCGGAUUAGCUAGUAGGUGGGUGAAAGGCCUACCUAGGCGACGAUCCCUAGCUGGUCUGAGAGGAUGACCAGCCACACUGGAACUGAGACACGGUCCAGACUCCUACGUGAGGCAGCAGUGGGGAAUAUUGGACAAUGGGCGCAAGCCUGAUGCAGCCAUGCCGCGUGUAUGAAGAAGGCCUUCGGGUUGUAAAGUACUUUCAGCGGGGAGGCGUUACCCGCAGAAGAAGCACCGGCUAACUCCGUGCCAGCAGCCGCGGUAAUAC